UACGUAGGGCGCAAGCGUUGUCCGGAAUUAUUGGGCGUAAAGAGCUCGUAGGCGGUUUGUCGCGUCUGCUGUGAAAUCCCGAGGCUCAACCUCGGGCUUGCAGUGGGUACGGGCAGACUAGAGUGCGGUAGGGGAGACUGGAAUUCCUGGUGUAGCGGUGGAAUGCGCAGAUAUCAGGAGGAACACCGAUGGCGAAGGCAGGUCUCUGGGCCGCAACUGACGCUGAGGAGCGAAAGCCAGGGGAGCAAACGGG
rnacentral:rRNA from 1 species